GAGUCAGGCCUGCCCGGUGAAUAAUUUAACGGCCGCGGUACUCUGACCGUGCGAAGGUAGCAUAAUAAUUUGGCUUAUAAUUGAAGUCUGGUAUGAAUGGUUUAACAAGAGUGUUUCUGUCUCUUUUCAAUUUUUUAGAAUUUUAUUUUUAGGUUAAAAAGCCUAAAUUCAAUAAAAAGACAAGAAGACCCUAUCGAGCUUUAAAAACUUUUUUAGGGUUUAUAUAUUUAAAUAUAACCUAUUCUAAUAAAUAUUUUGGUUGGGGCGACUGGGGAACAAAGAAAGCAUCCUUAANAGUUAGUUAGCUGAUAAGUGAUGAUCCAGGUUUUUUGAUUAAUAGAAUUAGUUACCGUAGGGAUAACAGCAUUAUCCUUUUUGAGAGUUCAUAUCGAAAGGGGGGAUUGUGACCUCGAUGUUGGACCAGAAUUUCCUAAAGAUGUAGCAGUCUUUAAGGGUUNGUC
rnacentral:rRNA from 1 species